GCAAUUAUACAGCGAAACUGCGAAUGGCUCAUUAUAUAAGUUAUCGUUUAUUUGAUAGUACCUUACUACUUGGAUAACCGUGGUAAUUCUAGAGCUAAUACAUGCUGAAAAUCCCGACUUCGGAAGGGAUGUAUUUAUUAGAUUCAAAACCAAUGCCCUCUGGGCUCACUGGUGAUUCAUGAUAACUCUUCGAAUCGCAUGGCCUUGCGCCGGCGAUGGUUCAUUCAAAUUUCUUCCCUAUCAACUUUCGAUGUUUGGGUAGUGGCCAAACAUGGUUGCAACGGGUAACGGAGGGUUAGGGCUCGACCCCGGAGAAGGAGCCUGAGAAACGGCUACUACAUCCAAGGAAGGCAGCAGGCGCGCAAAUUACCCAAUCCCGACACGGGGAGGUAGUGACAAUAAAUACUGAUACAGGGCUCUUUUGGGUCUUGUAAUUGGAAUGAGUACAAUUUAAAUCCCUUAACGAGGAACAAUUGGAGGGCAAGUCUGGUGCCAGCAGCCGCGGUAAUUCCAGCUCCAAUAGCGUAUAUUAAAGUUGUUGUGGUUAAAAAGCUCGUAGUUGAACCUUGGGCCUGGCUGGCCGGUCCGCCUCACCGCGUGUACUGGUCCGGCCGGGCCUUUCCCUCUGUGGAACCCCAUGCCCUUCACUGGGUGUGGCGGGGAAACAGGACUUUUACUUUGAAAAAAUUAGAGUGCUCCAGGCAGGCCUAUGCUCGAAUACAUUAGCAUGGAAUAAUGAAAUAGGACGCGCGGUUCUAUUUUGUUGGUUUCUAGGACCGCCGUAAUGAUUAAUAGGGACAGUCGGGGGCAUCAGUAUUCAAUUGUCAGAGGUGAAAUUCUUGGAUUUAUUGAAGACUAACUACUGCGAAAGCAUUUGCCAAGGAUGUUUUCAUUAAUCAGGAACGAAAGUUAGGGGAUCGAAGACGAUCAGAUACCGUCGUAGUCUUAACCAUAAACUAUGCCGACUAGGGAUCGGACGAUGUUAUUUUUUGACUCGUUCGGCACCUUACCGAGAAAUCAAAGU
rnacentral:rRNA from 1 species